CUUUGUGCACCUGCACCUGGAAGGCACUCCUUCCCCAGAGGACAAGGGCUUACUUGUCCUCUGUCCUGACAGACAGGUCAAAGAAUUCUAGCUACAAAUACAUACAGCCUCUUUGUCCCUGUGGCAGUUCAUCUAGGUGAGAAAAACAAGAGCAACCCCGUGGAGGCCCAAAUUACUCGGGGUCUGAGAAUCUGAGCUUGCUUUACCCAACAGGGCUGCUGCAUAAGGGGAUGAUUUGACCACGGGCGUGUUUAUACCAGGUGUUUGGAAGGGUCUACACUUGGCUGUAUGGGUGUGCUUUGAUCUAGCAAGGGGGAAGUCUUUUGCCUCUCUCCUUGGCAUGUUAUAAAAAGCCUUUUGAAUAAACCUUUGAGGCUGCUGGGUAUUGAUCCAGACCCUCCCGAA